AGGGGUUGCCGCGCGCUCCCGGACCGGCGCAGCUGGAAGAGGGGAAGUUUGGGAAUGCGAGUGGAGACCUCGCCCGACUGGCGUUAAAACCUUUUCGUUGUGGGAAGAGGACAACUAUUAAUGAACUCAGGCACAGAUGCUGCCUCCUUUCACCUCUGCCCCAUGCACCGAUACUGAAGCUCCGGGGAAGCAGCUAGCCUCUUGGCAUUCUCAGAUGAGCUUUCAGGCUAAUUCAUUUUGAACAGUCAUCUUCUCACAGUGGAGAAAUGUGAGUGCAUUAAAACAAAACAGGAGCUACAACUGAACAAUUCAAAUCAUUGGCAGAAAGGGUGGCAGGUGUAUGGUUACGUGAUGGAUUUUGGAGUGAGAUGGUCCUGAGUUUGAAUUCAAGCCCUGACACCAUAUGAGCUUAAAACUGGAAAACUCAAACUCAUAGUCUGCAUUAUAUUGAAAGCUGUAAUGCCA